AGAAUCAACGCUGGCGGCGUGCCUAACACAUGCAAGUCGAACGAGAAAGGGGAGCAAUCCCUGAGUAAAGUGGCGCACGGGUGAGUAACACGUGACUAACCUACCCUGGAGUGGGGGAUAACUGAGGGAAACCUUAGCUAAUACCGCAUAAUACCUAUGGGUCAAAGGAGCAAUUCGCUUUGGGAGGGGGUCGCGGCCGAUUAGUUAGUUGGCGGGGUAAUGGCCCACCAAGACAGUGAUCGGUAUCCGGCCUGAGAGGGCGCACGGACACACUGGAACUGAAACACGGUCCAGACUCCUACGGGAGGCAGCAGUGGGGAAUUUGCGCAAUGGGGGAAACCCUGACGCAGCAACGCCGCGUGGAGGAUGAAGUACUUCGGUACGUAAACUCCUUUCGAUCGGGACGAUAAUGACGGUACCGGAAGAAGAAGCCCCGGCUAACUUCGUGCCAGCAGCCGC
rnacentral:rRNA from 1 species